rnacentral:rRNA from 1 species
AAUAGAUACCCUGGUAGUCCAUGCCGUAAACGAUGUCUACUAGCCGUUGGGGCCUUUGAGGCUUUAGUGGCGCAGCUAACGCGAUAAGUAGACCGCCUGGGGAGUACGGUCGCAAGACUAAAACUCAAAUGAAUUGACGGGGGCCCGCACAAGCGGUGGAGCAUGUGGUUUAAUUCGAUGCAACGCGAAGAACCUUACCUGGUCUUGACAUAGUAAGAACUUUCCAGAGAUGGAUUGGUGCCUUCGGGAACUUACAUACAGGUGCUGCAUGGCUGUCGUCAGCUCGUGUCGUGAGAUGUUGGGUUAAGUCCCGCAACGAGCGCAACCCUUUUCCUUAUUUGCCAGCGGGUUAAGCCGGGAACUUUAAGGAUACUGCCAGUGACAAACUGGAGGAAGCGGGGACGACGUCAAGUCAUCAUGGCCCUUAGACCAGGGCUACACACGUGCUACAAUGGUCGGUACAAAGGGUUGCUACCACGCGAGUGGAUGCUAAUCUCGAAAAAGCCGAUCGUAGUCCGGAUUGGAGUCUGCAACUCGACUCC